rnacentral:rRNA from 1 species
UACGGGGGGGGCAAGCGUUGUUCGGAAUUACUGGGCGUAAAGGGCUGGUAGGCGGCCAACUAAGUCGGAUGUGAAAUCCCCAGGCUUAACCUGGGAACUGCAUCCGAUACUGGUCGGCUUGAAUCCGGGAGAGGGAUGCAGAAUUCCAGGUGUAGCGGUGAAAUGCGUAGAUAUCUGGAGGAAUACCGGUGGCGAAGGCGGCAUCCUGGACCGGCAUUGACGCUGAGGAGCGAAAGCCAGGGGAGCAAACGGG